rnacentral:rRNA from 1 species
UAACCCCGGGAAACCGGGGCUAAUACCGGAUAAUACUUUCUUUUGCAUAAAGGAAAGUUGAAAGGCGGCUUCGGCUGUCACUUACAGAUGGGCCCGCGGCGCAUUAGCUAGUUGGUGAGGUAACGGCUCACCAAGGCGACGAUGCGUAGCCGACCUGAGAGGGUGAUCGGCCACACUGGGACUGAGACACGGCCCAGACUCCUACGGGAGGCAGCAGUAGGGAAUCUUCCGCAAUGGACGAAAGUCUGACGGAGCAACGCCGCGUGAGUGAUGAAGGUUUUCGGAUCGUAAAACUCUGUUGUUAGGGAAGAACAUGUUGGGUAGUAACUGACCCAACCUUGACGGUACCUAACCAGAAAGCCACGGCUAACUACGUGCCAGCAGCCGCGGUAAUACGUAGGUGGCAAGCGUUGUCCGGAAUUAUUGGGCGUAAAGCGCUCGCAGGCGGUCCUUUAAGUCUGAUGUGAAAUCUCGCGGCUCAACCGCGAACGGUCAUUGGAAACUGGAGGACUUGAGUACAGAAGAGGAGAGUGGAAUUCCACGUGUAGCGGUGAAAUGCGUAGAGAUGUGGAGGAACACCAGUGGCGAAGGCGACUCUCUGGUCUGUAACUGACGCUGAGGAGCGAAAGCGUGGGGAGCGAACAGGAUUAGAUACCCUGGUAGUCCACGCCGUAAACGAUGAGUGCUAGGUGUUAGGGGGUUUCCGCCCC